UGGGGAAUUUUGGACAAUGGGCGAAAGCCUGAUCCAGCAAUGCCGCGUGUGUGAAGAAGGCCUUCGGGUUGUAAAGCACUUUUGUCCGGAAAGAAAUCCUUGGCUCUAAUACAGUCGGGGGAUGACGGUACCGGAAGAAUAAGCACCGGCUAACUACGUGCCAGCAGCCGCGGUAAUACGUAGGGUGCAAGCGUUAAUCGGAAUUACUGGGCGUAAAGCGUGCGCAGGCGGUUUGCUAAGACCGAUGUGAAAUCCCCGGGCUCAACCUGGGAACUGCAUUGGUGACUGGCAGGCUAGAGUAUGGCAGAGGGGGGUAGAAUUCCACGUGUAGCAGUGAAAUGCGUAGAGAUGUGGAGGAAUACCGAUGGCGAAGGCAGCCCCCUGGGCCAAUACUGACGCUCAUGCACGAAAAGCGUGGGGGAGCAAAACAGGAUUAGAUACCCCUGGUAGUCCACGCCCUAAAACGAUGUCAACUAGUUGUUGGGGAUUCAUUUCCUUAGUAACGUAGCUAACGCGUGAAGUUGACCGCCUGGGGAGUACGGUCGCAAGAUUAAAACUUAAAGGAAUUGACGGGGUCAUAGCUG
rnacentral:rRNA from 1 species